CCUACGGGUGGCAGCAGUGAGGAAUAUUGGUCAAUGGACGAGAGUCUGAACCAGCCAAGUCGCGUGAAGGAUGACUGCCCUAUGUGUUGUAAACUUCUUUUAUAUGGGAAUAAAAUGGUCCACGUGUGGGAUUUUGUAUGUACCAUAUGAAUAAGGAUCGGCUAACUCCGUGCCAGCAGCCGCGGUAAUACGGAGGAUCCGAGCGUUAUCCGGAUUUAUUGGGUUUAAAGGGAGCGCAGGUGGAUUGUUAAGUCAGGUGUGAAAGUCUGGGGCUCAACCGGAAAAGUGCAGUUGAAACUGGCAGGCUUGAGUACAGUAGAGGUGGGCGGAAUGCGUGGUGUAGCGGUGAAAUGCUUAGAUAUCACGAAGAACCCCGAUUGCGAAGGCAGCUCACUGGACUGCAACUGACGCUGAGGCUCGAAAGUGUGGGUAUCAAACAGGAUUAGAUACCCGAGUAGUC
rnacentral:rRNA from 1 species